rnacentral:rRNA from 1 species
CAGCAGCCGCGGUAAUACAGAGGGUGCGAGCGUUAAUCGGAUUUACUGGGCGUAAAGCGUGCGUAGGCGGCUUAUUAAGUCGGAUGUGAAAUCCCUGAGCUUAACUUAGGAAUUGCAUUCGAUACUGGGAAGCUAGAGUAUGGGAGAGGAUGGUAGAAUUCCAGGUGUAGCGGUGAAAUGCGUAGAGAUCUGGAGGAAUACCGAUGGCGAAGGCAGCCAUCUGGCCUAAUACUGACGCUGAGGUACGAAAGCAUGGGGAGCAAACAGGAUUAGAUACCCCAGUAGUCCCUGUCUCUUAUAC